rnacentral:tRNA from 2 species
GGAGAGAUGUCCGAGUGGCCUAUGGUACCUGCCUCGAAAACAGGCGAACGUGUAAUGCGUUCCGAGGGUUCAAAUCCCUCUUUCUCCGCCA